AAAUUGAAGAGUUUGAUCAUGGCUCAGAUUGAACGCUGGCGGCAGGCCUAACACAUGCAAGUCGAGCGGUAGCACAGAGAGCUUGCUCUCGGGUGACGAGCGGCGGACGGGUGAGUAAUGUCUGGGAAACUGCCUGAUGGAGGGGAUAACUACUGGAAACGGUAGCUAAUACCGCAUAAUGUCGCAAGACCAAAGUGGGGGACCUUCGGGCCUCAUGCCAUCAGAUGUGCCCAGAUGGGAUUAGCUAGUAGGUGGGGUAACGGCUCACCUAGGCGACGAUCCCUAGCUGGUCUGAGAGGAUGACCAGCCACACUGGAACUGAGACACGGUCCAGACUCCUACGGGAGGCAGCAGUGGGGAAUAUUGCACAAUGGGCGCAAGCCUGAUGCAGCCAUGCCGCGUGUGUGAAGAAGGCCUUCGGGUUGUAAAGCACUUUCAGCGGGGAGGAAGGCGUUAAGGUUAAUAACCUUGGCGAUUGACGUUACCCGCAGAAGAAGCACCGGCUAACUCCGUGCCAGCAGCCGCGGUAAUACGGAGGGUGCAAGCGUUAAUCGGAAUUACUGGGCGUAAAGCGCACGCAGGCGGUCUGUCAAGUCGGAUGUGAAAUCCCCGGGCUCAACCUGGGAACUGCAUUCGAAACUGGCAGGCUAGAGUCUUGUAGAGGGGGUAGAAUUCCAGGUGUAGCGGUGAAAUGCGUAGAGAUCUGGAGGAAUACCGGUGGCGAAGGCGGCCCCUGGACAAAGACUGACGCUCAGGUGCGAAAGCGUGGGGAGCAAACAGGAUUAGAUACCCUGGUAGUCCACGCCGUAAACGAUGUCGAUUUGGAGGUUGUGCCCUUGAGGCGUGGCUUCCGGAGCUAACGCGUUAAAUCGACCGCCUGGGGAGUACGGCCGCAAGGUUAAAACUCAAAUGAAUUGACGGGGGCCCGCACAAGCGGUGGAGCAUGUGGUUUAAUUCGAUGCAACGCGAAGAACCUUACCUGGUCUUGACAUCCACAGAACUUUCCAGAGAUGGAUUGGUGCCUUCGGGAACUGUGAGACAGGUGCUGCAUGGCUGUCGUCAGCUCGUGUUGUGAAAUGUUGGGUUAAGUCCCGCAACGAGCGCAACCCUUAUCCUUUGUUGCCAGCGGUCCGGCCGGGAACUCAAAGGAGACUGCCAGUGAUAAACUGGAGGAAGGUGGGGAUGACGUCAAGUCAUCAUGGCCCUUACGACCAGGGCUACACACGUGCUACAAUGGCAUAUACAAAGAGAAGCGACCUCGCGAGAGCAAGCGGACCUCAUAAAGUAUGUCGUAGUCCGGAUUGGAGUCUGCAACUCGACUCCAUGAAGUCGGAAUCGCUAGUAAUCGUAGAUCAGAAUGCUACGGUGAAUACGUUCCCGGGCCUUGUACACACCGCCCGUCACACCAUGGGAGUGGGUUGCAAAAGAAGUAGGUAGCUUAACCUUCGGGAGGGCGCUUACCACUUUGUGAUUCAUGACUGGGGUGAAGUCGUAACAAGGUAACCGUAGGGGAACCUGCGGUUGGAUCACCUCCUUACCUUAAAGAA
rnacentral:rRNA from 1 species